rnacentral:rRNA from 1 species
AGCGAACGCUGGCGGCAGGCCUAACACAUGCAAGUCGAACGAACCUUUCGGGGUUAGUGGCGGACGGGUGAGUAACACGUGGGAACGUGCCUUUAGGUUCGGAAUAACUCAGGGAAACUUGUGCUAAUACCGAAUGUGCCCUUCGGGGGAAAGAUUUAUCGCCUUUAGAGCGGCCCGCGUCUGAUUAGCUAGUUGGUUGAGGUAAUGGCUCACCAAGGCGACGAUCAGUAGCUGGUCUGAGAGGAUGAUCAGCAACAUUGGGACUGAGACACGGCCCAAACUCAUACGGGAGGCAGCAGUGGGGAAUCUUGCGCAAUGGGCGAAAGCCUGACGCAGCCAUGCCGCGUGAAUGAUGAAGGUCUUAGGAGUGUAAAAUUCUUUCAACGGGGACGAUAAUGACGGUACCCGGAGAAGAAGCCCCGGCUAACUUCGUG